CCCCAGGUCAGGCGGGACUACCCGCUGAGUUUAU
rnacentral:rRNA from 1 species